GACGAACGCUGGCGGCGUGCCUAACACAUGCAAGUCGAACGGAGAAUUUUAUUUCGGUAGAAUUCUUAGUGGCGAACGGGUGAGUAACGCGUAGGCAACCUACCCUUUAGACGGGGACAACAUUCCGAAAGGAGUGCUAAUACCGGAUGUGAUCAUCUUGCCGCAUGGCAGGAUGAAGAAAGAUGGCCUCUACAAGUAAGCUAUCGCUAAAGGAUGGGCCUGCGUCUGAUUAGCUAGUUGGUAGUGUAACGGACUACCAAGGCGAUGAUCAGUAGCCGGUCUGAGAGGAUGAACGGCCACAUUGGGACUGAGACACGGCCCAAACUCCUACGGGAGGCAGCAGUGGGGAAUCUUCCGCAAUGGACGAAAGUCUGACGGAGCAACGCCGCGUGAGUGAUGAAGGAUUUCGGUCUGUAAAGCUCUGUUGUUAUGACGAACGUGCAGUGUGUGAACAAUGCAUUGCAAUGACGGUAGUAAACG
rnacentral:rRNA from 1 species